rnacentral:rRNA from 1 species
UACGUAGGAUGCAAGCGUUGUCCGGAAUUAUUGGGCGUAAAGAGCGAGCAGGCGGUCUGAGAAGUCAGAUGUGAAAUAUCCCGGCUUAACCGGGAGGGGCCAUUUGAAACUCUCAGACUAGAGUGAAGCAGAGGAUAGUGGAAUUCCCGGUGUAGUGGUGAAAUGCGUAGAUAUCGGGAGGAACACCAGUGGCGAAGGCGACUAUCUGGGCUUUAACUGACGCUGAGGCGCGAAGGCUAGGGGGAGCAAACAGG